GCGAGGGUGGCGGAAUUGGCAGACGCGCUGGAUUCAGGUUCCAGUGGGGUCACUCCCGUGAGGGUUCAAGUCCCUCCCUUCGCA
rnacentral:tRNA from 1 species